GACGAACGCUGGCGGCGUGCUUAACACAUGCAAGUCGAACGGUGAAGCUCCAGCUUGCUGGAGUGGAUCAGUGGCGAACGGGUGAGUAACACGUGAGCAACCUGCCCCUGACUCUGGAAUAAGCGCUGGAAACGGCGUCUAAUACUGGAUACGAGAAGGGUCCGCAUGGGCACUUUCUGGAAAGUUUUUCGGUUGGGGAUGGGCUCGCGGCCUAUCAGCUUGUUGGUGAGGUAAUGGUUCACCAAGGCGACGACGGGUAGCCGGCCUGAGAGGGCGACCGGCCACACUGGGACUGAGACACGGCCCAGACUCCUACGGGGGGCAGGAGUGGGGAAUAUUGCACAAGGGGCGAAAGCCUGAUGCAGCGACGCCGCGUGGGGGAUGACGGCCUUCGGGUUGUAAACCUCUUGCAGCAGGGAAGAAGCGAAAGUGACGGUACCUGCAGAAGAAGCACCGGCUAACUACGU
rnacentral:rRNA from 1 species